rnacentral:rRNA from 1 species
GACGAACGCUGGCGGCGUGCUUAACACAUGCAAGUCGAGCGGUAAGGCCCUUCGGGUACGACGAGCGGCGAACGGGUGAGUAACACGUGAGCAAUACUGCCCUCCACAUCGGGAUAACCCCGGAAACCGGGAGCUAAUACCGGAUACGACCACUUCAGGCAUCUGAUGGUGGUGGAAAGUUACUGGCGGUGGAGGAUGAGCUCGCGGCCUAUCAGCUUGUUGGUGAGGGUAAUGGCCCACCAAGGCUUCGACGGGUAGCCGGCCUGAGAGGGUGACCGGCCACACUGGGACUGAGACACGGCCCAGACUCCUACGGGAGGCAGCAGUGGGGAAUAUUGGACAAUGGGCGAAAGCCUGAUCCAGCAACGCCGCGUGAGGGAUGACGGCCU